AAUUAUAUUUUUUCUGUAAAGCAAAUCAUUUGGAAUAAUGAACGAUACAAGGUGAAAGUCCCGUAGUUUUAGAAAAAAAAAUAUGUCGAAAGAUUUCCCGAGUAGCUUGGGACAUGUGAAAUCCCGAGUGAAUCCGCGAGAACCAUCUCGUAAGACUAAAUACUCCUAAAUAACCGAUAGAGAAUAGUACCGUGAGGGAAAGGUGAAAAGUACCCCGGGAGGGGAGUGAAAUAGUACCUGAAACCGUGUGCCUACAAACCGUCGGAGCCUGGAAGGGUGACGGCGUGCCUUUUGAAGAAUGAGCCUGCGAGUUAGUGUUACGUCGCGAGGUUAACCCGUGAGGGGUAUCCGUAGCGAAAGCGAGUCUGAACAGGGCGAGUGAGUGGCGUGAUCUAGACCCGAAGCGAAGUGAUCUACCCAUGGCCAGGUUGAAGCGCGUGUAAGAGCGCGUGGAGGACCGAACCCACUUCAGUUGAAAAUGGAGGGGAUGAGCUGUGGGUAGGGGUGAAAGGCCAAUCAAACUUCGUGAUAGCUGGUUCUCCCCGAAAUGCAUUUAGGUGCAGCGUUACGUGUUUCUUGCCGGAGGUAGAGCUACUGGAUGGCCGAUGGGCCCUACAAGGUUACUGACGUCAGCCAAACUCCGAAUGCCGGUAAGUGAGAGCGUAGCAGUGAGACUGUGGGGGAUAAGCUUCAUAGUCAAAAGGGAAACAGCCCAGACCAUCAGUUAAGGCCCCUAAAUAAUAACUAAGUGGAAAAAGAGGUGAAAAUGCUUAAACAACCAGGAGGUUUGCUUAGAAGCAGCCAUCCUUUAAAGAGUGCGUAAUAGCUCACUGGUCAAGUGAUUCCGCGCCGACAAUGUAGCGGGGCUCAAGUACACCGCCGAAGUUGUGGCAUUGCACCAAUGAUACCCAACCGGGCCUCGCGCCCGGUUCAGGUGGUGCGAUGGGUAGGGGAGCGUCGUGUGGGCAGUGAAGCUGCGGGGUGACCCAGUGGUGGAGCCCACACGAGUGAGAAUGCAGGCAUGAGUAGCGAAUGACGGGUGAGAAACCCGUCCGCCGGAUGAUCAAGGGUUCCAGGGUCAAGCUAAUCUGCCCUGGGUCAGUCGGGACCUAAGGCGAGGCCGACAGGCGUAGUCGAUGGACAACGGGUUGAUAUUCCCGUACCGGCGAAGAACCGCCCCUAUCGAACCGGGGACACUAACCACCCGAACCGCACCAGGUGCCGGCCAUUGGCCGUCGCCGGUGUCGGGGAGCGUGGGACCUGAACCGGGGAGGUAAGCGUAUUAACAGGUGUGACGCAGGAAGGUAGCCGAGCCGGGCGAUGGUAGACCCGGUCUAAGCGUGUAGGGCGAUCCGUUGGCAAAUCCGCGGAUCACAGGGCCUGAGACGUGACGGGACCCCCAUCCGUGGGGGGAUUCGGUGAUCCUAUGCUGCCGAGAAAAGCAUCGACGCGAGGUUCCAGCCGCCCGUACCCCAAACCGACACAGGUGAUCAGGUAGAGAAUACUAAGGCGAUCGAGAGAAUCAUGGUUAAGGAACUCGGCAAAAUGCCCCCGUAACUUCGGGAGAAGGGGGGCCCCGACCGUGGACCGGACGUGCUCCGGCGAGCGGGUAAGGGCCGCAGAGACCAGGGGGAAGCGACUGUUUAUCAAAAACACAGGUCCGUGCGAAGUCGCAAGACGAGGUAUACGGACUGACUCCUGCCCGGUGCUGGAAGGUUAAGAGGACCUGUUAGCCUCACGGCGAAGCGGAGAAUUUAAGCCCCAGUAAACGGCGGUGGUAACUAUAACCAUCCUAAGGUAGCGAAAUUCCUUGUCGGGUAAGUUCCGACCUGCACGAAUGGAGUAACGACUUCCCCGCUGUCUCAACCAUGAACUCGGCGAAAUUGCAGUACGAGUAAAGAUGCUCGUUACGCGCAGCAGGACGGAAAGACCCCGAGACCUUUACUAUAGUUUGGUAUUGGUGUUCGGUGUGGCUUGUGUAGGAUAGGUGGGAGACGGUGAAGCGGGCACGCCAGUGCACGUGGAGUCAACGUUGAAAUACCACUCUGGUCACUCUGGACAUCUAACUUCGGCCCGUGAUCCGGGUCAGGGACAGUGCCUGAUGGGUAGUUUAACUGGGGCGGUUGCCUCCUAAAGAGUAACGGAGGCGCCCAAAGGUUCCCUCAGCCUGGUUGGCAAUCAGGUGUCGAGUGUAAGUGCACAAGGGAGCUUGACUGUGAGAGCGACAGCUCGAGCAGGGACGAAAGUCGGGACUAGUGAUCCGGCGGUACAUUGUGGAAUGGCCGUCGCUCAACGGAUAAAAGGUACCUCGGGGAUAACAGGCUGAUCUUGCCCAAGAGUCCAUAUCGACGGCAUGGUUUGGCACCUCGAUGUCGGCUCGUCGCAUCCUGGGGCUGGAGUUGGUCCCAAGGGUUGGGCUGUUCGCCCAUUAAAGCGGUACGCGAGCUGGGUUCAGAACGUCGUGAGACAGUUCGGUCCCUAUCCGCUGCGCGCGCAGGAAAUUUGAGAAGACCUGUCCUUAGUACGAGAGGACCGGGACGGACGAACCUCUGGUAUGGCAGUUGUACCGCCAGGUGCACCGCUGCUUCGCUACGUUCGGAAGAGAUAACCGCUGAAAGCAUCUAAGCGGGAAGCUCGCUUCGAGAUGAGAUUUCCACGCACCCUCGGGUGCGAGAGGCCCCCAGCUAGACCACUGGGUUGAUAGGCCGGAGGUGGAAGCACGAACCAACGACGUGUGCAGCCGACCGGUACUAAUAAGCCGACA
rnacentral:rRNA from 13 species